rnacentral:rRNA from 1 species
AACGAACGCUGGCGGCAUGCCUAACACAUGAAAGUCGAACGAGAUCUUCGGGUCUAGUGGCGCACGGGUGCGUAACGCGUGGGAAUCUGACCUUUGGUUCGGAAUAACAGUUGGAAACGACUGCUAAUACCGGAUGAUGACGAAAGUCCAAAGAUUUAUCGCCAGAGGAUGAGCCCGCGUAGGAUUAGCUAGUGGGUGUGGUACAGGCGCACCAAGGCGACGAUCCUUCGCUGGUCUGAGAGGUUGAUCAGCCACACUGGGACUGAGACACGGCGCAGACUCCUACGGGAGGCAGCAGUGGGGAAUAUUGGACAAUGGGCGAAAGCCUGAUCCAGCAAUGCCGCGUGAGUGAUGAAGGCCUUAGGGUUGUAAAGCUCUUUUACCCGGGAUGAUAAUGACAGUACCGGGAGAAUAAGCUCCGGCUAACUCCGUGCCAGCCGCCGCCGUAA